CUCACAUUCUAUUUUGUAAUAUUUUCAUUUCAAAACUUGUCAAAUGAUUGUCUCCAGCUGUCAAGAGAGCAGUUUGUUAUUGUUACUAAACAAUAUUUUUUAGUGCUUCAGUUUUAUUUUGUGCCUCAUUGCGUAGAUAAACAGCAUUUGGAAAACAAUAUUUAAAGUGGUUCUGUAUCCGAAGGGUGAAAAUGAGACCCUAUUACUCAGUCUCUGCUGCUUGUCCAUCCGUCCGUCUGUCUGUCAGCAGGCUGUAUCUCUUGAACCAUAAUAGGUAGAAAGUUGAAAUUUCCACAGAAUGUGUAAUUUCUAUCGCUGCUAUAACAACAAAUAA